rnacentral:rRNA from 1 species
UACGGGGGGGGCAAGCGUUGUUCGGAAUUACUGGGCGUAAAGGGCUCGUAGGCGGCCAAUUAAGUCGGAUGUGAAAUCCCUCGGCUUAACCGGGGAACUGCAUCUGAUACUGGAUGGCUUGAGUUCGGGAGAGGGAUGCGGAAUUCCAGGUGUAGCGGUGAAAUGCGUAGAUAUCUGGAGGAACACCGGUGGCGAAGGCGGCAUCCUGGACCGACACUGACGCUGAGGAGCGAAAGCCAGGGGAGCAAACGGG